GUGUCUCAUCAAGUGUUAACUUAUGAACAGAAUAUUUAAAAAAAACAAUGUAUUAUUUAAUAUUCCUUAACAAGUAAUUAUUGAUGCUGCUUGUGAGCUGUAACAUAAUAGACUUCCUUAUUUUGUCAAAUAUCCCGACAGACGUAAUAGACAGCACUACUGAUGGCCAAACAAACAGGAAACUUCUGGAUUUGUGGCUGGGUGAGAAUUGCAUUACUAAUUUAUGGCUGGCUAAACUCCGCACUGUUUACAAAUUACUCGGGAAAUGUAUUGAAAAUUAAGCAAACGAAUUUUGGAUAAAACUUUCUCAAAUAUAUUUCCCUAAAUGAAGAAAAACCCUUUUUCGCCGGCCCUUAAAGGGACUAACAUCGAACUGAGCUGGAAAGCUGUAUGGACUUUGAGUUCCCAAUCCCACAAAAGCAAUUUUCCCCACUUGCCAAGCCAUUUGAAAGACAAAGUGGGGAAAAUAAAAGACCUGCCCAAAAGUUCGCGUCACUUUCAGCCUUUAAACGCCGCCCAUUGCCGGCAGACAAAACUAAGAGGGAAAAGCCCAGAAAAAACUAAUCAAGGCCCGCGGCUUUUGGCCGCAACUCCCCCAACGUUGGCCAAAUUCGGGGCCCACAUAAAAAUUUUCGGGGCGGGUCACGUGCCCCGACUGACAGGCGUUUUGCGAAAUCUCAUCAAUCAAAAUCUUAGUGUGAUAAUAACGAGCGGGAGAAAUCACAAAGCAUUUCUUUCAACCGACGGAGUUCCACUAACCCACAAUUCGGCUGAGGAUAAUGGCCAACUAGAUGGGGAUUCCGCUGAAUGCUGAUAAUGGCGGAGUGGUGGAGACUUUGCUGACGUAAUGACCCGGUUGAGGGGUUUUCUGGCCCUUUAUCCUUCUCUCAGACGGAAACGAAGACGUCGCGCAAUUUCUUGGGGCCUCCGGCUAGCCGCAGACGGCAAAUCGAAACUUCCGCCUCAUGUCGGCGGCCUGUUUUGGCCCUAAUUUGAAAGUUAAGCGUUAUAAACACGUUCAUUUAACGCCAGUCCCCGGCUCAUCCCCCGCGGCCAUAUAUCUGGGCUCCAAAGCUAAUGUUGCGCGAUUUCGAAACACAAAUUGCUGUCAUUAAAAUCAUUUCAAUGCGAAUAAAAGUUGCGGAAAAGAAGAACACAGUAAAUAAGAAGGAAAAUCAAAUGGAAAAUUUUGCGAGCGACCACAAAGAAGUAAAAUAAAUUGGAAGUGGCAGCCAGAGACUUUUGUCCAGUAAAUUGAAAUUGUAAUGAAAUGGAAAGCAGAGGAAAGCUGGGUCGUGCAAUUAGACUCGCGCUUCUUAGCCAAGUGAAUUUAAAUUAUAAUAAUGAGAAGUUUAUAAAUAUAUAAU